rnacentral:rRNA from 1 species
UGGGGAAUAUUGCGCAAUGGGGGGAACCCUGACGCAGCGACGCCGCGUGCGGGAUGACGGCCUUCGGGUUGUAAACCGCUUUUGAUUGGGAGCAAGCGCAAGUGAGUGUACCUUUCGAAUAAGGACCGGCUAACUACGUGCCAGCAGCCGCGGUAAUACGUAGGGUCCAAGCGUUGUCCGGAAUUAUUGGGCGUAAAGAGCUCGUAGGCGGCGCGUCGCGUCUGGUGUGAAAGUCCAUCGCUUAGCGGUGGAUCUGCGCUGGAUACGGGCGUGCUGGAGUGCGGUAGGGGAGACUGGAAUUCCCGGUGUAACGGUGG